rnacentral:rRNA from 1 species
AGAGUUUGAUCCUGGCUCAGAUUGAACGCUGGCGGCAUGCCUUACACAUGCAAGUCGAACGGCAGCGCGGGAGCAAUCCUGGCGGCGAGUGGCGAACGGGUGAGUAACAUAUCGGAACGUGCCCUGGAGUGGGGGAUAACUAGUCGAAAGACUGGCUAAUACCGCAUACGAUCUAAGGAUGAAAGUGGGGGAUCGCAAGACCUCAUGCUCCUGGAGCGGCCGAUAUCUGAUUAGCUAGUUGGUGGGGUAAAGGCCCACCAAGGCGACGAUCAGUAGCUGGUCUGAGAGGACGACCAGCCACACUGGGACUGAGAUACGGCCCAGACUCCUACGGGAGGCAGCAGUGGGGAAUUUUGGACAAUGGGGGCAACCCUGAUCCAGCAAUGCCGCGUGUGUGAAGAAGGCCUUCGGGUUGUAAAGCACUUUUGUUCGGAAAGAAAUCGCCUGGGUUAAUACCCUGGGUGGAUGACGGUACCGGAAGAAUAAGCACCGGCUAACUACGUGCCAGCAGCCGCGGUAAUACGUAGGGUGCAAGCGUUAAUCGGAAUUACUGGGCGUAAAGCGUGCGCAGGCGGUUGUGCAAGACAGAGGUGAAAUCCCCGGGCUUAACCUGGGAACUGCCUUUGUGACUGCACGGCUAGAGUGUGUCAGAGGGGGGUAGAAUUCCACGUGUAGCAGUGAAAUGCGUAGAUAUGUGGAGGAAUACCGAUGGCGAAGGCAGCCCCCUGGGAUAACACUGACGCUCAUGCACGAAAGCGUGGGGAGCAAACAGGAUUAGAUACCCUGGUAGUCCACGCCCUAAACGAUGUCAACUAGUUGUUGGGGAUUAAUUUCCUUGGUAACGCAGCUAACGCGUGAAGUUGACCGCCCGGGGAGUACGGUCGCAAGAUUAAAACUCAAAGGAAUUGACGG